CCUACGGGAGGCAGCAGUGGGGAAUUUUGCGCAAUGCUCGUAAGAGUGACGCAGCGACGCCGCGUGAAUGACGAAGGCCUUCGGGUCGUAAAGUUCUUUCGACAGGGAAGAAAAUGCCUAUAAGUAACUGUGUAUGUAUUGACGGUACCUGUAUAAGCAGCCCCGGCUAACUCCGUGCCAGCAGCCGCGGUAAUACGGAGGGGGCGAGCGUUGUUCGGAGUGACUGGGCGUAAAGAGCACGUAGGCGGUGUUGUAAGUCAUUAGUCAAAGACUAGAGCUAAACUUUAGUAAGGCUAGUGAUACUAUAAUACGAGAGUAUCAGAGAGGAUUGCAGAAUUCCUGGUGUAGCAGUGAAAUGCGUAGAUAUCAGGAGGAAUACCGUUAGCGAAGGCGGCAAUCUGGCUGGAAACUGACGCUGAGGUGCGAAAGCGUGGGUAGCAAACAGGAUUAGAUACCCCUGUAGUC
rnacentral:rRNA from 1 species